rnacentral:tRNA from 1 species
GCGCCCGUAGCUCAGCGGAUAGAGCAAGGGAUUUCUACUCCCUUGGCCGGGGGUUCGAUUCCCUCCGGGCGCG